GGAAAGGUGAAAAGGACCCCGGGAGGGGAGUGAAAGAGAACCUGAAACCUUGUGCUUACAAACAGUCAAAGGACGCAAGUCUGAUGGCGUACUUUUUGUAGAACGGUCCGGCGAGUUACUAAUGCCAGCGAGGUUAAGUGGUCAGAAGCCACGGAGCCGAAGGGAAACCAAGUCUGAAUAGGGCGUAGAGUUGGUAUUAGUAGACCCGAAACCGGGUGACCUAUCCAUGUCCAGGUUGAAGGAACCGUAAAAGGUUUUGGAGGACCGAACACACAUGUGUUGAAAAACGUGGUGAUGAGGUGUGGAUAGCGGAGAAAUUCCAAUCGAACUCGGAGAUAGCUGGUUCUCCUCGAAAUAGCUUUAGGGCUAGCCUCGAGCUGGAGUCUAACGGAGGUAAAGCACUGAACUGACGCGGGGCCCAAAAAGGUUACCAACUCAUAUCAAACUAAGAAUGCCGUCAAGAUACCCUCGGGAGUCAGUCUGCGUGAGAUAAGUCGCGUGGACAAAAGGGAAAGAGCCCAGACCGACAGCUAAGGUCCCAAAGUACGUGUUAAGUGGAAAAGGAUGUGGGAUUUCAUAGACAACUAGGAUGUUGGCUUAGAAGCAGCCAUACAUUUAAAGAGUGCGUAAUAGCUCACUAGUCGAGAAAACCUGCGCCGAAAAUGUAACGGGGCUAAAACACGACACCGAAGCUACGGAUUCCUUACAAAGUAAGGAGUGGUAGAGGAGCAUCCUGCAAGGACGAAGCCAAAGUGAGAGCGAUGGUGGACGAAACAGGAGAGAGAAUGCCGGAAUGAGUAGCGAGAUACAUGUGAGAAACAUGUAGGCCGAAUAUCUAAGGAUUCCUGGGUAAAGCUAAUCUUCCCAGGGUUAGUCGGGGCCUAAGGCGAGGACGAAAGUCGUAGUCGAUGGAUAACAGGUUGAUAUUCCUGUACUACACAUAAUCAGAACUGUGGGGACGCAGGAGGAUAGGGAAACCGGGGAAUGGAAAGACCCGGUCAAGCGUAAAGCUGUGGGAGAUAGGCAAAUCCGUCUCCUGUAAGUGAAACGUGAUGAGGACUGAAAAAAAGUAAGGAAGUUUCCGAAUCCACACUGCCGAGAAAAGCCGCUAUUGCGUUAUGUGUACCCGUACCGUAAACCGACACAGGUAGAUGAGGAGAAAAUCCACAGGCCGACGGGAGAAGUGUUGUUAAGGAACUCGGCAAAAUGACCCCGUAACUUCGGGAUAAGGGGAGCCUCGCAAGAGGCCGCAGAAAAGAGGCACAAGCAACUGUUUAGCAAAAACAUAGGUCUAUGCGAAACCGUAAGGUGAAGUAUAUGGGCUGACGCCUGCCCGGUGCUGGAAGGUUAAGAGGAGAGGUUAGCGCAAGCGAAGCUUUGAAUUUAAGCCCCAGUAAACGGCGGCCGUAACUAUAACGGUCCUAAGGUAGCGAAAUUCCUUGUCAGGUAAGUUCUGACCCGCACGAAAGGCGUAAUGAUUUGUGCACUGUCUCGACAACACGCCCGGUGAAAUUGAAGAACCAGUGAAGAUACUGGUUACCCGCAACAGGACGGAAAGACCCCAUGGAGCUUUACUGCAGCCUGAUACUGGGAUUCGAUGAUAUAUGUACAGGAUAGGUGGGAGGCUAAGAAGCGAGAACGCUAGUUUUCGUGGAGCCGCCGGUGGGAUACCACUCUUAUGUCAUUGAAUUUCUAACCUGCAUCCGUAAUCCGGGUGAGGGACAAUGUCAGGCGGGCAGUUUGACUGGGGCGGUCGCCUCCUAAAAGGUAACGGAGGCGCUCGAAGGUCACCUCAGAAUGAUUGGAAACCAUUCAAAGAGUGUAAAGGCAAAAGGUGGCUUGACUGCGAGAGCGACGGCUCGAGCAGGUACGAAAGUAGGACUUAGUGAUCCGGUGGUAAUAAGUGGGAAUGCCAUCGCUCAACGGAUAAAAGCUACCCUGGGGAUAACAGGCUUAUCACUCCCA
rnacentral:rRNA from 1 species